AGCCUUGUAGUGUAUAAACAUAUAGGAUUGCAAAUCCUAAGAAGUAGAUUAAGUUCCACCGGGGCUU
rnacentral:tRNA from 1 species